rnacentral:rRNA from 1 species
UGGGGAAUAUUGCACAAUGGGCGCAAGCCUGAUGCAGCCAUGCCGCGUGUAUGAAGAAGGCCUUCGGGUUGUAAAGUACUUUCAGCGGGGAGGAAGGGAGUAAAGUUAAUACCUUUGCUCAUUGACGUUACCCGCAGAAGAAGCACCGGCUAACUCCGUUCCAGCAGCCGCGGUAAUACGGAGGGUGCAAGCGUUAAUCGGAAUUACUGGGCGUAAAGCGCACGCAGGCGGUUUGUUAAGUCAGAUGUGAAAUCCCCGGGCUCAACCUGGGAACUGCAUCUGAUACUGGCAAGCUUGAGUCUCGUAGAGGGGGGUAGAAUUCCAGGUGUAGCGGUGAAAUGCGUAGAGAUCUGGAGGAAUACCGGUGGCGAAGGCGGCCCCCUGGAAAAAGACUGACGCUCAGGUGCGAAAGCGUGGGGAGCAAACAGG